rnacentral:rRNA from 1 species
CGCCUAACACAUGCAAGUCGAACGAAGUAGCAAUACUUAGUGGCAGACGGGUGAGUAACAUGUAGGUAUCUACCCUUUGGCCUGGAAUAACACGAGGAAACUUGUGCUAAUACCGGAUAAGUCUUUACGGAGAAAGCUUUAUGCACCAUUGGAUGAGCCUGCACUUGAUUAGUUUGUUGGUGGGGUAAUGGCCUACCAAGACUGUGAUCAAUAGCUGAUUUGAGAGGAUGAUCAGCCACAUUGGGACUGAGACACGGCCCAAACUCCUACGGGAGGCAGCAGUGGGGAAUCUUGCACAAUGGAGGAAACUCUGAUGCAGCGAUGCCGCGUGAGUGAAGAAGGCCUUUGGGUUGUAAAGCUCUUUCGUCGGGGAAGAAAAUGACUGUACCCGAAUAAGAAGGUCCGGCUAACUUCGUGCCAGCAGCCGCGGUAAUACGAAGGGACCUAGCGUAGUUCGGAAUUACUGGGCUUAAAGAGUUCGUAGGUGGUUGAAAAAGUUAGUGGUGAAAUCCCAGAGCUUAACUCUGGAACUGCCAUUAAAACUUUUCAGCUAGAGUAUGAUAGAGGAAAGCAGAAUUUCUAGUGUAGAGGUGAAAUUCGUAGAUAUUAGAAAGAAUACCAAUUGCGAAGGCAGCUUUCUGGAUCAUUACUGACACUGAGGAACGAAAGCAUGGGUAGCGAAGAGGAUUAGAUACCCUCGUAGUCCAUGCCGUAAACGAUGUGUGUUAGACGUUGGAAAUUUAUUUUCAGUGUCGCAGCGAAAGCGAUAAACACACCGCCUGGGG